rnacentral:rRNA from 1 species
CGUAGGGUGCGAGCGUUAAUCGGAAUUACUGGGCGUAAAGCGUGCGCAGGCGGUUUUGUAAGCCAGAUGUGAAAUCCCCGGGCUCAACCUGGGAAUGGCAUUUGGGACUGCAAGGCUUGAGUGCGGCAGAGGAGACUGGAAUUCCCGGUGUAGCAGUGAAAUGCGUAGAUAUCGGGAGGAAUACCGAUGGCGAAGGCAGGUCUCUGGGCUGACACUGACGCUCAUGCACGAAAGCGUGGGGAGCAAACAGGAUUAGAUACCCUGGUAGUCCACGCCCUAAACGAUGUCGACUGGUUGUUGGGGGUUUGACACUCUCAGUAACGAAGCUAACGCGUGAAGUCGACCGCCUGGGGAGUACGGCCGCAAGGUUA